GAUGAACGCUGGCGGCGUGCCUAAUACAUGCAAGUCGAGCGAAUGGAUUAAGAGCUUGCUCUUAUGAAGUUAGCGGCGGACGGGUGAGUAACACGUGGGUAACCUGCCCAUAAGACUGGGAUAACUCCGGGAAACCGGGGCUAAUACCGGAUAAUAUUUUGAACUGCAUGGUUCAAAAUUGAAAGGCGGCUUCGGCUGUCACUUAUGGAUGGACCCGCGGCGCAUUAGCUAGUUCGUGAGGUAACGGCUCACCAAGGCAACGAUGCGUAGCCGACCUGAGAGGGAGAUCGGCCACACUGGGACUGGGACACGGCCCAGGCUCCUACGGGAGGCAGCAGUAGGGAAUCUUCCGCAAUGGACGAAAGUCUGACGGAGCAACGCCGCGUGAGUGAUGAAGGCUUUCGGGUCGUAAAACUCUGUUGUUAGGGAAGAACAAGUGCUAGUUGAAUAAGCUGGCACCUUGACGGUACCUAACCAGAAAGCCACGGCUAACUACGUGCCAGCCGCCGCAGUAA
rnacentral:rRNA from 1 species